rnacentral:rRNA from 1 species
GCCACAGCUUAAACUCAGAGGACUUGGCGGUGUCUUACACCCACCUAGAGGAGCCUGUUCUAUAAUUGAUAAUCCACAAUAAACCUCACCACCACUAGCCUAUCAGCCUAUAUACCACCGUCACAAGCCCACCCCACAAAGGAACAAUAAUGAGCUAAAUAGUUUUAAACUAAAAAGUCAGGUCAAGGUGUAGCAAAUGUGGUGGAAAGAAAUGGGCUACAUUUUCUUUAAAGAAAAUACGAACGUUAAGUGAAAUAAAACACGAAGGCGGAUUUAGCAGUAAGAGUGGAACAGAGAGCCACCCCUAAGUUGGCAAUAAGACAAGCACACACCGCCCGUCACCCUCUUAUGUACGAACAAACAAUAAAUAAAUAAAGAUAUUAGUAUAUUAAAAAGAGGAAAGUCGUAACAUGGUAAGUCUACCGGAAGGUGGACUUGGAAU